AUGGACAGACUUCUAAAACUCACGGGAUUUGGCUGGGAUGACGAUGACAAAAUGAUAAAAGCUCCAGAAGAUAUUUGGGAAGAACUAAUUAAGAAGGAUAAGGCUAUCCAAGAAUAUCGAGAUAAGGUGUGGCCUAGUUGGAUAGAACUUCAAGCCAUAUGUGCUAGUUCAACAGCAUCUGGAGCUGGUGCUGUAUCUAGCAAAGGAAAAGAUGAUUCAAGCAAUCAAGUCCCAUCAAAAAUAUUGGGUGAUGCAAGAUUCUACCCAUAUUUCAAGAACUGCCUAGGAGCAAUUGAUGGGACACAUAUUGAGGCAAAAGUCAGGCUUGAUAAGCAAACUCCUUAUAGAAACAGACAUGGUUAUCCGUCUCAAAAUGUAAUGGGAGUAGUGUCAUUUGACAUGACAUUCUCUUAUGUCGCUGCUGGAUGGGAGGGUUCUGCAUCGGAUCAAGCUGUUCUAAGAUGGGCUGUGACUAGUGGGGGUUUAGUUGUUCCUGAAGGCUACGCAAAUACUCCAAGAUUUAUUGCCCCGUAUCGUGGAGAUCGCUAUCAUAUUGCUUCUUUUCGUGGAAGUAAUCGGCGAUAUACUGGUGAGAAGGACUUGUUCAACCAUCUACAUGCACAGAAAGGAGGAAUUCCUUAUCCAUACAGAACUCAAGUGAAAAUUGUUAUGGCUUGUUGCAUUAUCCACAACUUCAUAAGGAAGGUUAAUCAUCCUGAUGAGUUAUUCGAGCUUUAUGAGCAUGGGGAAACAAAAGAAAAUACUGACCAUGGUGAUCAACAAGUUCAUGGGCAAGAAAGAGAAGAUGAUAGAGUUGCUGGUGAGAGAGUUCGUGCUGCCAUCGCCCGAGAGUUGUGGACUAAACAUCAACAAUAUAUAUCUGCAUAA
rnacentral:rRNA from 1 species